ACCUAAUCCAAUUGAAAAUCGGAUCGGAUCAGAUCGGAUCCAUGAUCAAAAAGUCUGUCCCAUUGGAUUAUUUAGGUCGGAUUGGGUCCAUAUAUAAUCCGAUCUCAAUGUAAAAAAUCUGGAUUCGACUCGGGCCCUUCUAGUCGGACUUGGUUCAUAUGAUAAACCAAUAUAUGCAAAGUUUAUGACAAAAGAAAAUAAAUAUUUUUUUAUCUUGACUAUUAAUUUAUAAGCAAUUUUUCAAAAUCUCACAAUCAAAUUGAGUAAAACUAUAUAAAAAAUAACAAUGCUAUAAUUGAAAGAAAACGUAGUGAGUGAUGUGCAUGCAUUUUCAAAAUUUUAUAGCGAAAUAUACAUAGAUUAAAUAAUUUAAUCUAUAAU
rnacentral:lncRNA from 1 species